ACAUUGCGAAAAAAAAGCCCCUAAAUCAGUGCUUCUCAAUUAUUUUCUGUUACGCCCCCCCUAGCAAGAAGAAAACUAUUCGCGCCCCCCACUCCCCACCGUGACUAUCC